AGAGAGGCCAGCCCCCAUUCCUGGGGCUCCCCAAGGAGCUGGCUUUCAGCAGGGUUUAGAGCAGCACGAAAAGUGAACUGACCCUGGAAAAAUGGUAAUCUUCUCAUCUGUGAGGAUAUGGAACUCCAACCUCUUCCUGGACACCUGAUGAUCCCCUUGUGAUGGGCUCAGAGUCUUGAAACAGAACUAUGAGCUCAUCUCAUACCCCAAUCCAGCAGCAUGGAAACCUCAGACUGUAAGGCCCAAGACUGGCACUUCUUCUUUCCCAACACUUUUCUUUCUCUCCUUUCUUUUCUCCCUAAUUCCUUCUUCCUUCCUUCCAGGAUUUAUACUGUUAGCUUUUAGGCAAAACAUCCUGAAUAUGUAGAAUAAACUAAUUAAAAUCAA